rnacentral:lncRNA from 1 species
UGAAAAAGUGCAUUACCAUAGAAUACCAAAAACAUAAAUAAUAUUGCAUAUGAAAGCUAGAAAUGCCUUCCUAUAGAGUACCAAAAACAGAAACAAUAUUGCAAGGGGUGUGCAAGUACUAAGCAUGAAGAUAGAAAUUAGCCUUUCAGCAAGCUUUAUCAUGACUUUGUUGCUCAUGUUACCUCUCCUUGAAGCAGGCUGUCAAUCGGUGGAUACAAAAUGCUUUCGCCAAUGUUUUGUUGUCUGCACAAGACAUUCUAUCGUGACCCAAUUUUGUGUCUCUGAGUGCAACCGUCAAUGCUGCAAAAAGCCUAGUGUAAAUUCUGCAGCACCCAAAGGAUAGUGAGGUGUUCAUUUGCAAUGUUGUGUCUUUUAAUAAUAUGAUGAUCAUUUGAAUAAAGAAAUGAGAAACACCAUCAAUGCAAUUUUAGUACUACUAGCUUUAUGAGCAAUUUAUGCAUAUUCUAUUAUGUUUAAAUUAACAAAAUUUCAAAUAUCAAUUAAUAUUAAAAUUUAACUUUUAGAAUCAAGAAUCAUAAAUUUUCGGCAGUAUUAGGGGAUGAUAGGUUUUCAU